GAUCCUGGCUCAGGAUGAACGCUAGCGACAGGCCUAACACAUGCAAGUCGAGGGGCAUCAGGUAUCAGCUUGCUGAUACGCUGGCGACCGGCGCACGGGUGAGUAACGCGUAUGCAAUCUGCCUGUAACAGGGGGAUAACCCGGAGAAAUCCGGCCUAAUACCCCAUAAGGAUGUCUGUCCGCAUGGGCGGUCAUCUAAAGGUUUUCCGGUUACGGAUGGGCAUGCGUUCCAUUAG
rnacentral:rRNA from 1 species